GAUGAACGCUGGCGGCGUGCCUAAUACAUGCAAGUCGAGCGAACGGACGAGAAGCUUGCUUCUCUGAUGUUAGCGGCGGACGGGUGAGUAACACGUGGAUAACCUACCUAUAAGACUGGGAUAACUUCGGGAAACCGGAGCUAAUACCGGAUAAUAUUUUGAACCGCAUGGUUCAAAAGUGAAAGACGGUCUUGCUGUCACUUAUAGAUGGAUCCGGGCUGUAUUAGAUAGUUGGUAAGGUAACGGGUUACCAAGGGAACGAUGCAUAGCCGACGUGAGAGAGUGGUCGGCCACACGGGAGCGGGGACGCGGUCCAGACUCCUGCGGGAGGCACCAGAAGGGUAUCUUGCGCAAUGGGCGAAAGCCUGACGGAGCAACGCCGCGUGAGUUAUGACGGCGUUCGGAUCGGAAAACUCUGUUAUUGGUGAAGAACAUAUGUGUAAGUAACUGAGCACUGCUUGACGGUACCUAAUCAGAAAGCAACGGCUAACUACGUG
rnacentral:rRNA from 1 species